GGUGGUAUAGUAUAGUGGAUAGUACAACACGUUGUGGAUUGUGUAUCUUCACAGGAUUGUGCUUUCGUGCCUCUUUCGAGAGUGUCGCUUUCAUAUUCUUCACAACUGUACCGUGUAGACCUGGGUUCGAUUCCCAGUACCGCCA